rnacentral:tRNA from 1 species
GGGCCCGUAGCUCAAUUGGUUAGAGCCGGCCGCUCAUAACGGUCUGGUUGCAGGUUCGAGUCCUGCCGGGCCUACCA